CACGAUGUAAGAAGUGCCUUUCUCCUCCUGCCGUGAUUCUGAGGCCUCCCCAGCCAUGUGGAACUGUACCUGUAUGAAUACAGAGACCAGUGCCUCUCAAACUUCGGAGCUCAUACAAAUCACCUGAGUGACGUGGGAUUUUCUUCUAAUGGUUCCACUUGGAUUGUCACUGGAUUGAGGUAACUUUUUGUAUUAAUUUCUCAACAGUAAAAUCUAGACCUACCUAUGGUGCAAGCCUGCAGUGUUUUACAGGACACUCUUUGAACUUCGUUUGCACUUUAUGUACAUGCAUAUAUG